UCAGCUGAACAAGCGAUUGACGACUUUAGACGCCAUAUCUACCACUUCACCGACUCCUUCACAGCCAGGUUCUAAGCUGCGAGGCGUGCUCGAAGCUUUGCGUCGCGGCUAUUCAAGUUAUGACCUCGACUUCUGCAAGCGUGGUUACCGGGCUCGCACGACCCGUGACAACGAAGCAACUGUCGUCGCCACGUGCCUCACCAGCUAACCUACAAGGUGAAUCCCGUGCAACCAAGUGACCGUGUCACUACUCCUGGGGACAACGCAACCAAGUGACCGUGGCACUUCUCUGAGGUACAACGGAGCAAGCCGUCGUCGCUACGUUCGAUCUUCGGCAGUUAUAUUCACCAGGUGCGAUUCUAGCUUGCGAGGGUGGCGCGGCCAUUAAAUCAACUAAUUGGCAAUGUUAACUGUUUUAGACUGAUUGGCAAAAGAAGGCCGCUGCCACAUUGGGUCGUCGUCGUGACGGAAGCGGAGAGGACUGGGUGGGGCGAUGUAGCUUUAGGCUUAGCUAACACUAGGAAGGGUAGCUCGCACUGCGCAGGCUCCAGCUGGCAGGGGUCCUCUCUCGUUUGCGACACGGACAUCGGCCCAUUCCGAGUGCUAUUGCUUCCCGGUCAUAAUUUCGCGUGUCGGCACGCGCGAAAUGUGGAAGUAAAUUGCACCCGGAAUUAAUUAGUGUCAGGUUUCUUCCAGCGAAACAGAAGAAGAACGGACGUUGCCUACGGUCUGCAGCGCGGUGCGCUGCGGCGAAGACGGUGGUGGGUGGUCACAUAUUGUUUUUCUUCCUGAUGUUCUCGUCCCUAUUGCUGCGCGUCACGCCGUGCUUUCGUCGCUCGACAAGCCAACCAUCGAGGACUAGUGCCAACGCCCACUCCAGCGCGAUGACGCUUGUCUUGGUGAGUACAUGCUUUCUGGUUACUUUCGUCAUUUAACAAGUGCCCCCCCCCCCCCCUUUUUUUUUUCCCCCCGAUCUGCAACCUGUGCCUUGGCCCCUGGCACCCGGUUCCUGCACGCGGCCGUGUCUCGCACAGCUGACGUUCUGCACCUGUCUGCCAUCCAGCAGCUGAUCGUGUCUUCACGUCUGUUCCUGCCUCACUGCUAUUGUGUCCUGGUGAAUGAAGAUGCCUGCAGAACGUCCACUGCACUCCGCAUCCUUUGGUGCCAGGCACACGCGACGGAUUUUCCUGCACCCGGCCGUGUCUCGCACAGAUGACGUUCAGCACCUGUCUGUCGUCCAGCAGCUGAUCGCGUCUUCAGGUCUGUUCCUGCCUCACUGCUAUCGUGUCCUGGUAAAUGAAGAUGCCUGCAAUCCCCGCCCUGCAGAACAUCCACUGCGCUCCGUAUGCUUUGGUGCCAGACGCACGCGACGGAUUUUCCUGCACCCGGCCGUGUCUCGCACAGAUGACGUUCAGCACCUGUCUGUCGUCCAGCAGCUGAUCGUGUCUUCACUUCUGUUCCUGCCUCACUGCUAUUGGUGUCCUGCUGAAUGAAGAUACCUGCAGUAAGUCGACUGCAUUCUGCAACCCUUGUCCUGACAUCUGCCCCCCAUCAAAGUCCUGUCCCACCAGCGUAGUACGCAGUCGCACCAAGUGCAGACCGUAGGGAGGCGGGCGUUGCUCUCGCCACUCAUCACAUUGCUGCUCCCGAAGGCGCCGUGCUGCAGGAAACGUUCUUCGCUGCCUCGACGAGGCCACACAACUAUGAAGUCCCAAGAAAGAGCACGACGUCGCGUAACAUGAAUGCUCAUCUACCAUCCCGGUUGGAGUUGUUCGUUCCACCCUAUAGCAGUGCGACGGCCACUCGAUGAAGUCGCACGUUAUUCAGUGGCUGUGAUCGUAUGAUGUGGUUACCGAAAAAUUCCAGGUGACAUGCUGUUCUAGCUCGUCGUAGUGGUACACUGCUCAGACUCUAGCAUUGGGUUGAUCUGUGGAUUCUCGUUUCUUACGUUCAUUGACAUUCUGUGCUUUUGUAAUGGUACAUUGAUGCAGAAUUGCGUUUGUAUGAGUGUGUGUGUGUGUGUGUGUGUGUGUGUGUGUGUGUGUGUGUGUGUGUGUGUGUGUGUGUGUGUGUGUGUGUGUGCGCACGUGUGUGAGUGUGUAUGUUUGUGU